GUUUGAGACGUGAUUCUAGUUCGAAAUGUGUUUUUUGUGAAAAAUAAUUACAAAUUCAUUAUUAUGGAGAUCGUAAGAAUGUACACAUUGGUGACAUGAAAUUUGUGUUUCUUUGCAAUAAACGAGGAUUUUUUUGAUGGUGGAGGACAAAUCCUUGGAUGCUGUGAUGAGGAGACAUCAUGUGGAGGUGUCUGGGUUCGAUUCUGGUGAUGGUCAAUGUGGUUGUCGGUCUAUCGCCUGUUAUUAAGAUUGGAGCAAUUUUCGCGGAAGAUGCCCGAGGUGGAAGCACAGAGCUAGCUUUCAAGUACGCGAUUUACCGAGUUAAUAAAGAAAGGAGUAUAUUACCAGAAUCAACUUUGGUGUACGACAUACAAUAUAUCACUCCGAGGGACACGUUCAGGGCGUAUAAGAAAGCCUGUAUCCAGAUAAAAUCGGGCGCGGUAGCUAUAUUCAGCAACGCUGGACCACUGCUCGGCUCGACUCUGUCAGCAAUGAGUAACUCACUUCAUACACCACACUUCACAAUAGAUCCUAGUUAUUUUACACCGUCUAACAGCACAACAUCGUUCACGCUGAACUUAUAUCCCUCCAGGGAACUUCUGGAUGUAGCAUUUACAGACCUCUCAGCGUAUUUAAAUUGGACAAGGAUGGGAAUUAUCUAUGAAGACUAUGGAUUUGGUGAACUGAACGUGCUGCGAAUGGCGAGCGAUGGUAGGGACAUGUACGCGGUGCGGUGUACGUCACACGAGUACAGGCGUGCGCUUGCGCAGCUCAAGGCGCAGGGUAUCUCCCGGAUCAUUGUCGAUACAGAUCCAAAGCAUUUGCGGCAGUUGGCUAGAGCUAUUCUCCAAUUACAAAUGAACAACGAAAAUUAUCACUAUAUUUUUACAUCUUUUGAUAUGGAACUGUUUGAUCUGGAAGAUUUCUACUACAAUCGCGUGAACAUGAGUGGAUGGCGUCUCGUGAACCGUGACUCUGAUAAAGUGAAGGACGCGUUGCAAGUGAUGGAGAAGUUCCAUCCGAUUGGAGCAUCUAUACUCUCUGGUGGAUAUAUUAAGACUGAUCCAGCGCUUCUAUACGACGCAGUGCAAGUGCUGGCAUUGGCGCUGGCGUCGACAAAGGAUGAACAAAAGACGAACGUUUCCUGUGAUACGGAGGUGCCUUUGGCGCAUGGCACGACGCUGUUACAGAAUAUACAUAAGGUCCAAGCACACGGCCUCACAGGUCCCAUAGAAUUCACAAAUGGCGUCCGUACCACCUUCAACCUUCAGCUAAUGAGGCUGGUGGGAGGAGAAGAUGGAGGAACGGUCAUGUCUGGCACCUGGAGUCCCGACGAAGGGCUGGAAGUCACAGACCCGGCCGCGUACAGACGGGAUCCACCGCCGAAUGUUACGCUUACAGUGGUCACCGUUGAGGAGAAGCCAUACGUGAUGGUGAAAGAAGGCUGGAACCUUCAAGGCAACGCCAGGUUCGAGGGCUUUUGUAUCGACCUACUCGCCCGGGUAGCAGCAAGAGCCGGCUUCGAUUACCGGUUAAGACUUGUCCCGGAUAACAUGUAUGGGGCAUGGGACCCGGAGACGGGGCAGUGGAAUGGCAUCGUAAGAGAACUAAUUGAUAGAAAAGCAGACAUCGCCGUGGCUUCCAUGACGAUAUCCUACGCCAGGGAAGUUGUCAUUGACUUCACGAAACCGUUCAUGAACUUGGGAAUAGGAAUAUUAUUCAAGGUACCGUCAUCGCAGCCAACCCGACUUUUUAGCUUUUUAAAUCCACUUGCUAUUGAGAUAUGGUUGUACGUCUUGGCGGCCUAUAUAUUAGUAUCGUUCACGUUGUUUGUGAUGGCCCGAUUCUCGCCUUACGAAUGGUCGAGUAGUACACACGUAUGUGGACACGAAACCAAAAUGCUGACAAAUCAGUUCAGUGUCUGCAACUCCAUUUGGUUCAUCACAGGAACAUUUCUUAGGCAGGGUUCGGGGCUGAAUCCAAAAGCAACCUCGACCCGUAUAGUUGGUGGUAUUUGGUGGUUUUUCACGCUGAUAAUCUUAUCUUCAUACACUGCCAAUUUGGCUGCGUUCCUCACAGUGGAACGAACCGUGUUGCCCAUACAAAGCGCGGCAGAUUUGGCUGCACAGAACAGCGUGCAGUAUGGCACUUUGAAUGGCGGUUCGACGAUGACGUUCUUUCGGGACUCGAAUAUAGAUAUCUACCAGCGUAUGUGGCAGCAUAUGUCAUCAGCCACUCCUCCCGCGUUGGUGUCGUCUUAUGAAGAAGGGGUCAGGCGGGUUUUAGGGGGAAACUACGCCUUUCUAAUGGAGUCCACCAUGUUGGACCACAGGGUCCAGAGGGACUGCAAUUUGACGCAAAUCGGUGGGCUCUUGGACUCGAAGGGUUAUGGAAUAGCUACUUGGAAAGGCAGCCCUUGGAGAGAUAAGAUCUCUUUAGCUAUUCUGGAACUUCAGGAGAAAGGGGUGAUACAAAUAUUAUAUGACAAGUGGUGGAAGAACACUGGUGACGUCUGCAAUAGAGACGGAAAAGACAGCAAGGCCAGCCCUCUUGGAGUGCAGAAUAUUGGCGGUGUCUUCGUGACCCUACUUUGUGGGCUGGUCCUGGCUAUAGUUGUGGCGAUAUUAGAGUUUUGUUGGAACACAAGAAAGACAGCGUCUCAGGGACGACAAUCAUUGUGCAGUGAGAUGGGACAGGAGUUGCGUACAGCGAUGCGAGGUGGCUCCUCGCGGACCGUACUGAAGCCUGGUUGUUCCAGAUGUUCACCGGCGACUCACGUUCCACCUGCACCUGCUAGAUAUGAGGCAGACGCGUCAAGCACUGUGGAGCUAAAGGAACUGCGCUGGUCGUAGCGCGGGGCGAGGAGGGGGGCGUCCGCGCCCUCCUCCCCCCGCCGCCCCUCGCACUCCCUGCCGCGAUGCGUGCGACCGCCCGCUUACUGCAAUUCAACAUCUACCCUCAGGCGAACUUCGUCCUAUGUACUAAAGGAACCACGUGAAAAAAAACACGUUCAAAUACUUGCUUAGACUACCAAAGUGUAAUUUUACAGCCUUUAUUAAUAAAAAUUCAAUCUAUAGAUAAAAAAGGUUUGAAGGGAAUUCCAUAUAUUCGACAAUACAAUAACUAAAGUAUGCUCGUCUCUUUCUGACAAACUGUGUUGACUCUGCGAUAAAAAGAGACAUGAGAUGAGUGAGUUUGUACUGUAAAACUAUGAAAGAUGAAUGGCGCCAAAAGCGCGAAGCGAUACAGAUGACCUAUUGUAAGCCACAGGCUAUUUUUUUAAUUUUUUAUAGUCUGUGCAUUACAAUCGUUGUACGCUGUGGACGUACAGUGUCAAAUACUUUUCUUGGCCGGUAACCUCGCUGGCAUGGAUAUUAGUAUUGCCAGUAAAGAAAAAUUAAUCAUUAUAAGGCUUAACUUAUAAUUUGCUGAAAUGCCUUGAGAAAA